rnacentral:rRNA from 1 species
GGUUAAGCGACUAAGCGUACACGGUGGAUGCCCUGGCAGUCAGAGGCGAUGAAGGRCGUGCUAAUCUGCGAUAAGCGCCGGUAAGGUGAUAUGAACCGUUAUAACCGGCGAUWYCCGAAUGGGGAAACCCAGUGUGACUCGUCACACUAUCAUUAACUGAAUCCAUAGGUUAAUGAGGCGAACCGGGGGAACUGAAACAUCUAAGUACCCCGAGGAAAAGAAAUCAACCGAGAUUCCCCCAGUAGCGGCGAGCGAACGGGGAGGAGCCCAGAGCCUGAAUCAGCAUGUGUGUUAGUGGAAGCGUCUGGAAAGGCGCGCGAUACAGGGUGACAGCCCCGUACACAAAAGCGCAUGUGCUGUGAG